rnacentral:rRNA from 1 species
GAUGAACGCUGGCGGCGUGCCUAAUACAUGCAAGUCGAGCGAAUGGAUUAAGAGCUUGCUCUUAUGAAGUUAGCGGCGGACGGGUGAGUAACACGUGGGUAACCUGCCCAUAAGACUGGGAUAACUCCGGGAAACCGGGGCUAAUACCGGAUAACAUUUUGAACCGCAUGGUUCGAAAUUGAAAGGCGGCUUCGGCUGUCACUUAUGGAUGGACCCGCGUCGCAUUAGCUAGUUGGUGAGGUAACGGCUCACCAAGGCAACGAUGCGUAGCCGACCUGGGAGGUUGAUCGGCCACACGGCGACUGAGACACGGCCCAGACUCCUAAGGGAGGCAGCAGUAGGGAAUCUUCCGCGAUGGACGAAAGUCUGACGGAGCAACGCCGCGUGAGUGAUGAAGGCUUUCGGGUCGUAAAACUCUGUUGUUAGGGAAGAACAAGUGCUAGUUGAAUAAGCUGGCACCUUGACGGUACCUAACCAGAAAGCCACGGCUAACUACGUGCCAGCAGCCGCCGUAA